rnacentral:rRNA from 1 species
AGAUUGAACGCUGGCGGCAGGCCUAACACAUGCAAGUCGAGCGGUAGAGAGGUGCUUGCAUCUCUUGAGAGCGGCGGACGGGUGAGUAAUGCCUAGGAAUCUGCCUAGUGGUGGGGGAUAACGUUCGGAAACGGACGCUAAUACCGCAUACGUCCUACGGGAGAAAGCGGGGACCUUCGGGCCUCGCGCCAUUAGAUGAGCCUAGGUCGGAUU